UCAAGAAGAGGCAAUGGAUGAAUGUUUGAUAUUUUCAAUGAUCAUCAAUAUUCAAGAACUCUGAAGUACUAGAGACGUCUAUAGUACAGAUGAAAGGGUAUUUAAGUUUGGUGAAACAAAAGUGGAAGAGGAAGCUGCAGGGAGUGGUGGAUCCUCCCACUGGGCGUGUUUCAGCACAUAAAAAGGCAAAGUGUAAGACAAUCACAGCCUUGUUUAGAAUCAACUUUCAGCAGCACACAACUUCAGUCUCCCUGACUCACACAACAACAACAACAUGGUCAACGUCAGAGUUGAGUACUGUGGUGCCUGAGGGUACAGGUCCAGGUAUGAAGCCCUGGCAAGGUAUCUUCAGCAGAGGAUUCCUGGCUUGCAGGUUUCUGGCAACGUUGGGAGGAGAGGAAGCUUUGAGGUGAUGGCGGACGACAACUUAAUUCACUCCAAACUCCAGACUGGAUCUUUCCCGUCUGAAGACAAGAUUGCAUUGAAAGUGCAGAAGUUGGCUAAACACAAUAUGUAAACGCUGGCUACUGGAGAACCAGAGCGUGAUGGGAGCGAGUCCAGGAGGCCGGACGCCGACUUCCUUCUUUGAAUGACUGUGCACGCUGAAAAGCAGAAAAAGGCGUGCACACGAUGUACACGUGUAGAAGGUUUUUAGCUGAUCCGGGGUCAGUGGAAUUGUUCUCAUCAUGACAGUCUGGUGUACUAAAACUCACAAGCAGUGGCGGGGAAAAAAAGACUAAUUUUGGUUCCAAACUUGUAACAAACAAUUGGUUACCAUUUUUUUCAUACCUUUUUAGUAUGAAACUAAAAAAAUAGUUGCCAAUCAAUACUUAAUGAUUUAAUUUAAUUUAACAGUUGAAACAUCUUCCUGUAACUUCAAUAAACUGCUGCAUAAACUACAGCUUUGCAGUUUUUCUUUGUAGUCUUCCCAGCAGGCACCAGACAUUAAAACAACGUUGAGACCUUGUUGAAUUAGGCCAGGGGUCGGGAACCUUUUUGGCUGAGAGACCCUUGAAAGCCAAAGAUUUAAAAAUGUAUUUCCGUGAGAGCCAUAUAAUAUUUUUUAACACUGAAUACAACUAAAUGCAUGCAUGUUUAAGUAAUACCAACAUUUUUAGAGUACAAUAAGUCUCUUAUUCUUUUUAAUAACAUUGUUAUUCUGAAGCUAACCAAUAAUAAAUAAAAUACUUCUUACCAAUAAUGCGACUUCUUGAACAGGUGCGGUAGAAAAUGGAUGAAUGGAUUAAAAUCCAUGAGAAUGUUUUAUAUUUUGAACAUUAUUUUUAACACUGUGAUUACCAGCGGAAUAAUUCAUUACUUAUCAUGUUAAGCAAUGUCAGCUAAGAUUUAUCUGAGAGCCAGAUGCAGUCAUCAAAAGAGCCACAUCUGGCUCUAGAGCCAUAGGUUCCCUACCCCUGAAUUAGGCCCUGACGUCGAGCAACUCAAACAUAACGUUGAAACAACAUGCUUUUUGGCGACGUUUAAUUAACGUUGUGUUCUGAUGUUGAUUAGACCUUUGAAAUUUGGUCAAUUCCCAACCAAUAUUCUACAACACAAAUACAAAGUUGAAACAACAUGCUUUUUUAACAACGUUUAUUCAAUGUUAAGUUGUGACGUUGAUUUGACCAUUGAAAUUUGGUCAUUUCCCAACCAACAACGUGGAUCCAACUUUGGACAUCAACAUUGCCUCAAUCCAACUAUUUUGCAACAUUGUUCAAAAGUCUGUGUUAAAGGACAUGUAUGUCUAAUCAAGGUUGUAUCAAUGUCUUGUGCUGGUUGGGUUACUAUGGUGCUAAUGGAGCAGCAUAGCUCGGUUGGUAGAGUGGCCGUGCCAGCAACUCGAGGGUUCCAGGUUCGAUUCCCACUUCCGCCAUCCUAGUCACUGCCGUUGUGUCCUUGGGCAAGACACUUUACCCACCUGCUCCCAGUUCCACCCACACUGGUUUAAAUGUAACUUAGAUAUUGGGGUUCACUAUGUAAAAGCACUUUGAGUCACUAGAGAAAAGUGCUACAUAAAUAUAAUUCAAUACAUAUAAUUCAAUAAUUGGCUUUUUGAAGUAGUGACAAAAUAAAAAAAAUCUUUACUUCAUUUCAGUAUAGCUGAAAAGGUAAAAGAAGCUAUAAAAAAAUUCAGCAAAAAGUUUGAAUUUAAAAAGAUAUUAGAAAUAUUUACACAAAAUAAAUCAAAAGUUUUAAAGCACAGAUUUGCUGCAGUUAAAUGCUAACAACAAUGGUGGUGAUGGUUAAAAAAAACUCCAAUACAAAGUAAUAGGUAUGUUCACCUUUUUAUUACAAAACAGUGACAAAUAAAUAGAACAAAAUCUGUGUUGGGGGGGCGGGGUGUUGCCAUAGCAACUAUUUGUUCAACAAUCCGACAACCGAUCGGUCCCUGGUUCAAACAUUGGGAAAAAAAGAAAUAAAGAAGGUACAUUUCACAACAAAUAGCACCGUGGUGUGGUUGUCAGGCCGCCGCCAGCUCUGCUGACCGGCCGAUAAAAACACACAAUUACAAAACACACACACGCAUGACAAAGCAUUUAAGUCAACUCCAAGAAAACAAGAAAAAAAAAAAGGGUUCCAGCGCUUAGUUUCCUUUGUUAUAAAUAUAAUAUAUUAAUUUGGACAAAUGUAAUCGAUGACCUUUGUGCUAAACACUUAUUUGAAACCCGAGUAAAAUGUAUGUAUAUAAUGUGUGUAUUAUUACAAUAUUUACUGUAUUUUCAGGACUGUAAGCCGCUACUUUUUUCCAACACUUUGCACCCUGCAGCUUAUAAAACGAUGUGGCUAAUUUAUAGAUUUGUCUUUGCUGACGGCCAUGAUGUUUUGUUUUCAACAAAUAGUUCUCAACACCAACAGAGACACUGAAAAGGUGUGUUACUGUUUGUGCUAUGGCGCCGUCUUUUGGACGAGUUAGCUCACUGCGGGUGCUGCGGGUUGAAAAUGUACUUCCUGUUUCGUGCCUUGAACCGGAACUAUAACAGUCCAUAGCAUAUCUGCUCGAAAAGGAUUCUUCUCCAGGCAACGUUUGUCAGUUUUACAAUAUAACUAAAACAAUUCAUACUUACGAGGCCGUCCCAUGUGUGAUGUCUGUAGGAAUUUUUUAAUGCAUAUUUGUGUGUGCUAUCGUAAUGUAGUCAAGCUAGUGUGUUCAGCAUUGGCCAAUAUGCUAACACGUUAUUAACUUUUGAUAUUGUUUCAGUUUCAUAAAUUCACUAAAACCUCACAGUGGAGUUAUUGAGUCUGUUGAACUGAUUGGAGAGUGAGCUUUCGCAGCUAGUGGGCUCAUGACGAUGACUUCUGUUUUGUUUGAUCAGCCGUUUAACUGCUGUGUGACAGGCACCAGUUGGAAACAAUUAAGGUAUGUAAAUAAAUAUUUAUAAAAUAUUUCGUACCGUCAUAUAUCUGCGGCUUGUAGGCCAGAUCAACUAUCCAUCCAUCCAUCCAUUUUCUGCCGCUUGUCCCUUUUGCGGUCGCGGGGGGUGCUGGAGCCUAUCUCAGCUGCAUUCGGGCGGAAGGCGGGGUACAGAGAGCCAGAGCAACUAAUAUAUGUAAAAAUAUUUAUUUCUUAAAAAAUUUGGUGGGUGCGGCUUAAAUACCAGUGCGCUCUAUUGCUCGGAAAAUACACUAAGAGAGUAAAACCCAAGAAAAAUGUAUAUAAUUGACAUACUAUUCAUCUUAUUUGCAGGCUAAAUGUAGUGACUUUUUUAAUCCAGCAGACGGCCAUUAUGAACCAUCAACACAGUCAUUAUAAUUUGUGUCAAUACAAUCAGUGAGUGUGCCAUACGCUCACUGAGACGUCAUUUACUCAUCACUACCUGUAAAUGUGGAAGUAGUGUCAAAGCGCUUUGAGAACCUUGAAGGUAGAAAAGCGCUAUACAAGUACAACCCAUAAUGUCUGAUGUUAUUUUCCAUGAUCAUCAAUGUUCAAGAACUCUGAAGUACUAGAGACGUAUAUAGUACUGACGAAAGGGACUUUAAGUUUGGUGAAACAAAAGUGGAAGAGGAAGCUGCAGGGAGUGGUGCAUCCUCCCACUGGGCGUGUUUCAGCACAUAAAAAGGCAAAGUGUAAGACGAUCACAACCUUGUUUAGGAUCAACUUUCAGCAGCACACAACUUCAGUCUUCCUGACUCACACAACAACAACAACAACAACAACAACAACAACAUGGUCAACGUCAGAGUUGAGUACUGUGGUGCCUGAGGGUACAGGUCCAAGUAUGAAGCCCUGGCAAAGGAACUUCAGCAGAAGAUUCCUGGCGUGCAGGUUUCUGGCAACGUUGGGAGGACAGGCAGCUUUGAGGUGAUGGCGGACGACAUGCUGGUUUACUCCAAACUCGCCACUGGAGAGUUCCCCACUGCCAUCGAGAUUGUAGUCCAAAUGCGGGCGUUGGCUGGAUGCAGAAUGUAAACGCUGGCUACUGGAGAACCAGGGCGUGAUGGGAGCGAGUCCAGGAGCCCGGACGCCGACUUCCUUCUUUGAAUGACUGUGCACGCUGAAAAGCACAAAAGGCGUGCACACGAUGUAUACGUUUAGAAGGUUUUUAGCUGAUCCGGGGUCAGUGGAAGUGUUCUCAUCGUGACAGUCUGGUGUACUAAAACUUACAAGCGGUGGCGGGAAAAAAUACUAACUUUAGUUCCAAACAUGUAGCAAACUAUUUUUAUCCCUUUUUUAAUCUAAAAAUAAUGUGCUAUUUGCACAAUCGAUAUUUAAUAAUCCGCUUGUUGAGACAUCUUCAUGCAACAGGGUUUCUGCAGCAAAUAUAAUGCAUGGUCAAGUAAAUGUAACGCCUAUAUCCUACUGCACAUUGUUAUUAUAUAUUAGCAAAAGCUUACUGUAUGAACAAAAUUGUAAGCAUUUCACAAACAUGAUGAAUUGUUUACAUUAACUGGCCAAAUUAGAUAGAUAGAUAGAUAGAUAAUAAAUAAAUAAUAAAUAGAUAGAUAAUACUUUAUUGAUUCCUUCAGGAAACUUCCCUCAGGAAAAUUAAAAUUCUAGCAGCAGUGUACAGAAUUGAGAUAUAAUUUGAAAAGUAAAUAAUAGGGGUAUAAAUGAAAAUAAAAUAGAAAACAUUACAAUAAGAAUAAAAAUAAAAAGCAACAAUAAUAAUAAAAAUAUAACAGUAAAAAUAAGAAUAUAACAAGAGAAACUAGGCAGUAGUGACCAUGUUAUGAAAAUGUAUUGCACUGUUAAUUGCACUGUUUUUUGUUGCCACAAUUAAAUUAAGCGGUAAUGUAAUCAUAAUACAUAAUACCAAUGCAAGUAAACCUUUCAAACAUAAUCAGCAUAUUUUUUUAACUACUGCAGUAUUUUUACUAUUCUAAUUGUAAGGUUAAUAAGGUAAUUAUCCUAAAUACAGUAGAUAAACAAACAAUAUGUACAAACAAAUAAAAUGGACUCCCAAUCUCUGUUAACAAAAAGUGCAGUUUUUUCCCCCCCUCAUUUGGAAAAACUGGGUCAGGUGCUUUGUUUUGUCUUUUUUUGUUGCCAUCAAGGUGUCCUGGAAAAAUAAAAUGUGCUGCUUCAUUAAAAAAAAUGCAAGCAGUUACAUAAUGAGUAAUGGACGAAUUUAGUUGAAAUUUUAAGAAAAUGUCCGAAAUAGGUCAUGGAAAAAGUGCUUAUGUAGUUUUUAUUAUUCAUAGAUGAGCUUGUCAAAAAUAUAUUUGACAUUCAUUCUGUCAUCAUACAGCAUAGAUGCAUUUGAGUUUAACAAGGUUUAUACCCUUUUUGUUUUGGUUUGUUUCCUGGUGUGUAAAAAAAAAAAUGCUAAAAACACCCACAAUAUACCAAGGAGUUAUUUUUACCUUCAUGCGUGCGCAUGCCCAGUAGCGUUGGGUAGCACCUUUUUCCGGUUAGCACAUUUUCUCAAACCUGACGCUCGCCAGAUCCUUGUAGUUCGCUGAGCUCCACACAAGGAUCUGGGACUUCUCAACAGGAGAUGUAUUUCAGAAGGCGGGGCCUUGUAAAAAAAAAAAAAAACAUUGUAUGUGAUUGGAUAAACCACUUGUCCGUUAUCUUGAAUGACGUGCUACUUCAAUCACUCACAUCGAAAUCAACCUGUGACGCUGAUGAGAGCGACGCUGGGAAAUCCAAAACAGAACAGCCGACAUAUUGGAUAACGACAGAGCGAAAAGUUCUCUGUUUGAAUUAAUAUUCGAUAGAUUCGACAAAACAGUUGCAAUAGCAGCGAAGGCUGCGUGCCGCCAUUGUUGUUUGAAUCAAACAGUCGCUUCGGCGCUACGUCACAUUCGUGAAACCCCGCCCAGUGAUCCUGAUUGGUUCAUUACCAGAAGGCGGGGCCUUGUGAAAGAAAAUCAUUGUGAUUGGAUAAACCACUUGUCCGUUAUCUUGAAACACAUGGAAAUCAACGAGCGACGCUGGGAAAUCCAAAACAGAACAGCCGACAUAUUGGAUAACGACAGAGCGAAAAGUUAAAGAGAACCUUUACUGAAACAACGCAGCAAUGUCAGUAGACGAUCAAUGUUGCAAAACAGUUGCAAUAGCAGAAUCAAUGUCAGCACACGCUGCGUGCCGCCAUUACCAUGAAUAGAUUAACAUGGACCCCAACUUAAAACACUUUGAAAAACGUAUUCGGGUGUUACCAUUUAGUGGUCAAUUGUACGGAAUAUGUACUGAACUGUACAAUCUACUAAUAAAAGUUUCAAUCAAUCAAUCAAA